CUGUUACACAUUAAUUCACAAGGAGUUCCACUCAGGACUUUACUGAAAGUAAAUCUGAGAACGACGUUCAUCCAAAAGAAUUUCCUUUGAGAUUUCUUUGUGUUUCGUGCCUUUGUUAGCUUCAUUUGUGCUUUCUAAGGAGUGGAAGUAGGGUAACGGAACCAGCUCAGUUGGACAAAAAGGUAGAACCGGAAUGACUUUGGCAACACAGAGAAAGGAUGACGAAAAGAGUUAAAAGGCAACCUAAGCUUAGCUUCAGUCGAUAGGGGAACAAGGUUUGUAAAUGUGAUAAAGUGUAUUUGAGUAACCUAAAAUGUUUAUGCGAAAAGAUGUAAAAGGUAGUGAUAAUGUAAAGAAAUGUACUAAUGUAAUGGGCUAUGCAUGACAAUGGUACCAGUGGAUUUCGUCUCUUGUUUUUGCAGAUGA